CAUUUCCUCUCAUUCAGUUUGAUUUACACUUCUUCCUGGAAACCUGCAAUGAAAAACCCAUGCAUUUAAUUCACAGUGAGGAGUCCCCAGAAAUGGCCGUGCACAUCCCCGCGCGCCUGUGUACAUGUGAGUGCACUUCAGCUGUGCGCGGCCUGUUCCUCACCACACCAGCAGCUGUGUUCUUUUAUUAUUCCUUCCCAGGGCAGGGUCUAGCCUUGAGCACAGAAGCAGCUCCCCAGUCCAUUUUCUGCCCCAUCAUUGUUCACUGCACCCAGCGAUGACGGGGACAGAAGGGGGUGAAUGCCCGGCCGGCCAUCUCCCUCCUCUUCCAUCAAAGAAAGCCACAGAACGGGCACUGAUUUUCUUUUGCCUUCUCCUUAAAGCCACGUUUUCAUUUAAUCAUCACAGUGUAAUUUCUCUCGUGAGCCUGCCGCCCCUGCACAGAGCCAUUCCCAGCAGCAAGCGGAGGGGCCGCGCUGCGAUUCCUUACACUGGAGAGCCGAGGCAGGCAGGUGGCAAGGCCAGGCUGCCAGCCGGGCCCACGGUCACCAUGGAGACGGGCCAGUCCUGCCAGCCAGAAGCGCUGGCAGCCAGGGGAGCCAGGACGGGCGCAUGGACACAUAGGCUGGGAUUAUCUGUCACCGAGGCCUCCAAGGGGGCUUGACGACCUCAGGCACAGGCUCUUGGCUGGCGUUCUCCUGCUCAGGCAGCCAGAUAUUGGACUUGCCUCUUGCCAGGGAGAAAAAGGGAGGAGCUGGAAAGGAGAACUGGCCCCAUCUCAGACAAAGAGUCUUGUAAAUUAAACAAAAAACCCCAACAAACAAAACCCCAACAAAAAAAGCAAAUCCACCCCUUUCCCUCCAUCGUAAAGUGCACUGGCUUGACGCAGGCCUACAUGCAGGGUCCUGCGGUCUCUACUGUGCUCAGAAGAUCCUUGUUAAAAACAGAGUAAAUGGCCUGAUUCAAAGCCUUUUGAAUUGAAUUGAAAACCUCCAGUGGGCUUUAUUGGUUUUGGACCAAACCCAGAAGAAACAGAGACAACCAUUCCUGCUUCUGAACUUGCCUUCCAUCCAAGAUAUUUUCUGCAGCCCUGAGAAACAGAAAACUUCUAAUCUCUAAAAAUUAGGGAUUUUUAUUGAGUCAUGUGGCUCCAGGAGAUGAUGUAGAAAAUAAAAUUCCUUAUUUCUUGA